rnacentral:sRNA from 17 species
AGACCAUAACAAGAGUUUUGUUGUUUAACUUGUGGAUUACUACCUGAAGGAGAACGGUGUCAAGGAGCAAAUGGUCA